rnacentral:rRNA from 1 species
UCGAGAAUCUUUCACAAUGGGGGAAACCCUGAUGGAGUGACGCCGCGUGGAGGUUAAGGUCUUCGGAUUGUAAACUCCUGUCAUGCGAGAACAAAGCCCGCAAGGGUGUGAUAGUACCGCAAGAGGAAGAGACGGCUAACUCUGUGCCAGCAGCCGCGGUAAUACAGAGGUCUCAAGCGUUGUUCGGAAUUACUGGGCGUAAAGGGUGCGCAGGCCGCGCGGGCAGUCAAAUGUGUAAUUCAGGGGCUCAACCCCUGCACUGCGCUUGAUACUUCCGCGCUCGAGCUUUGGAGAGGAGUCUGGAAUUCUCGGUGUAGCAGUGAAAUGCGUGGAUAUCGAGAAGAACACUUAGGGCGAAGGCAAGACUCUGGACAAAUGCUGACGCUCAUGCACGAAGGCUAGGGUAGCGAA